rnacentral:rRNA from 1 species
GACGAACGCUGGCGGCGUGCUUAACACAUGCAAGUCGAACGGAAAGGCCCUGCUUUUGUGGGGUGCUCGAGUGGCGAACGGGUGAGUAACACGUGAGUAACCUGCCCUUGACUUUGGGAUAACUUCAGGAAACUGGGGCUAAUACCGGAUAGGAGCUCCUGCUGCAUGGUGGGGGUUGGAAAGUUUCGGCGGUUGGGGAUGGACUCGCGGCUUAUCAGCUUGUUGGUGGGGUAGUGGCUUACCAAGGCUUUGACGGGUAGCCGGCCUGAGAGGGUGACCGGCCACAUUGGGACUGAGAUACGGCCCAGACUCCUACGGGAGGCAGCAGUGGGGAAUAUUGCACAAUGGGCGGAAGCCUGAUGCAGCAACGCCGCGUGCGGGAUGACGGCCUUCGGGUUGUAAACCGCUUUCGCCUGGGACGAAGCGUGAGUGACGGUAAUGGGUAAAGAAGCACCGGCGAACUACG